rnacentral:tRNA from 1 species
GUUCUUAUAGCUUAACUGGAUAGAGUACCGGCCUCCGACGCCGGUGGUCGCGGUUCGAGUCCGCGUAGGAACA